rnacentral:sRNA from 1 species
UAUUCUGCCCCACGGGGAAGGAUGAGAAGCUUCGACUAAGGUUCGACUCGAGCGAAGCGAGAGAACGUUGCCGCAGGCAACGGCCCGAAGGGCGAGGCGCUUUAGCGCCGAGUAAUCCUUCCCCCACCACUU